AUGCUGAAGGGACGCGCUACCUGCCCGGGCUCCUCCGGCGGGGGCUGGGGACCCCNNNNNNNNNNNNNNNNNNNNGCGCCGAGGGGGGACGGGGGGGCCGGCUCCGAUCGUGUGGGGGGCUGCGGGGGGCGAGGGGCACGCCUGCACACGCGUGUGCGUGUCCGUGUGUCCGUGUCCGUGUGUCCGUGUCCGUGUGUGUGUGUGUGUGUGUGUCCCCGCGUGGCAGCCUCCCCGGCCUCCGCGGCCGGCAGGGGUAGGCGCAGCGCGGGGGGUGAAAGUCCGGGUCUAGCCGGGCAGGAAUUCAGCUCUGCCCCGGUGUGUUUACACGCACCAUCUGCCCAAGGAUUUUGUGUUUAUUUAUUUAUUUAUUUAUUUAUUUAUCUAUUCAUUUAUUUUUCCUCUCCCGUACGCUAGGGGAACCGGCUGAUUUCACUUCCUCAUCCCCUUUUCUGAUAACGCGCUUCGUGAUUAUUUUUUUCUUGUGAGCCCGUCACAGUCCAGGCGUGUUGCCGUACGUAAAAAGGGACCAUGUAAAGGGCACUUAAAAAGCAGGUACAGUAUGAGAGGCAAGGUCUCGUCCACAUCGGUGUGAAAACGGAAAUAAUCCACCUGGAAUAUUGGUCAGGGCACCAGUCAGUUACAUGGCAUUUUCUGAAAGGAAUGAAGUUCCCUACCCAGUUCAGAAGGAAAGGGUUAAACAGAGGAAUAACCAUGCUCUAUGCAACUAAUAUUUAAGGGAUAAAGUUUUCAUAUUAUGUUCUUUCUUGCCGAUUUAUACAGCACCAUUCCCACAUCCCUUAUCAAAGCAAGGUAUCUUGCCUCAGUAAGGACCUCACUGGAGUAAAAUGAGUGACAAUUCACGUGGAUGGCAGACUGCAGAUAGGCACCACCUCACCUCAUCUUACAAAAGCUAACAUGCAUAACUCUGCAACAGAGUAUCACAUUGGCUUUGCAACCCACCUAGCAAAAUAACUUCAUUUUGUAAACAUCAUUGCUCGUUCUGAAGCUGAAGAAUUCAAAUGUUAAGUACUAGACUUAUAUAGUGAAGUGUAGAUCAAAAUUAAGUCAAUGAGAGUUUUGAAGAAUUCUGAGUAAAACACAUUUCCGUAAAAUGCAGGCAGCUACAACUUAACAGCAACGAUGAGGCCAAUUUGCGCUGAAAUUCUGAAAAUACUUCUGUGAAAAUAAAGAGGGAGUUAUGUCUGUGUCA
rnacentral:lncRNA from 1 species